AUGGCACCGCAGCCGGAAGAGCGUCGACGAAGCAGACACGCGAAGUGGAGGACACCCAGUCGAUCCACGAAGAGGACCACAGCUUGAAGCAGUCUUGCACCAGAACCAACACCGGCACCCUCCGCGACGAAGCCUGCAGGGAGGAGAGAGCUAAGUCGACGCCUACUAGGAGGUGUGCGACGUCCUCACGCCGCCGUCGAAAGCACCGACACCAUGUCGGGCACGGCUUUCGCCUUGGGCUCCUUGAGCCCCUGCACGGCCGUCGGGAUCGGAGUCCUCCCGGCGCACCCUCUCGUCCCCCCUCCUCCAGAUCCCGGCGUCGGCGGCAGAGGUGGGCCGCGUCGACCUCCGCCGCGCGCCAUGGCGGACCGCGACGACCUCCGCAGCGUGCCAUGGCCGGCCGCCUCGAGCUCCGCCAGCCGGAUCCGCGCGCGGUCACCAUGGCAGAGCUCGUGGCGGCGUCCAGCGGCGGUGGUACCCCGCACCCCAGAACGCCGGCCAGCCGGGCGGCCAGUGCUGCCGGCAUCCAUGUCCAGGACCGCUUCGAGCUCUCCUAUUUAGGGCAGGGGCGGCUCCAAAGGGUGGACCGGGUCUCGGCGUUUCGUCGUCCGCCGCGCGUCUCGACGUCUCUCCGUCUCGGACUGUCUCUCAGCGUCUCUCUGAAUCCAAAUCGCUCCGCCUCUCUGCUCCCUCGGUCAGUCCGUGCAUGUUUUGGGGCAGCGGCAUGGCGCCGCGGUGGCCGGCGAGCGGCGACCGCAGGUACUACCGAUUCGUCCGCGCUUGGAAAUUUGGGAGCUGCCACCAGUACCGAUCUCCUCUGCCCUCCCAUACAGCUCCCCACCCCUGCAUUUCGUUGGAAGCAGCAACUUGCAUACAGUUGCUGAGGAAUCGAUCCUGCUGCAUUAAACCCCCAGCGAGGUAACAAACCUUUCAAUUGCAGCUACCAGUAGAUCAGCUAGGAUGCUUUGGACUCAAAUCAUUUCACUAUAAAUGCGGCGGAAGGUAACACCAAGUAAGUUGUUUUGUUUAUUCAGAUCUAAACCUUUCCUCCUCCCUACUAAGGUUGCAAGUGAUAUUCGCCUAAUCCCUGUGGCUAAGAAUGAAUCUACAGAACUGACUUCUCCAAGCCGAGCAUCUGCCUCCAACCAUCCUAUAGCAGUAUGUGUUAGCCUCGUCCUUUCCUGCACACAGACAAUUAGAUGAUUAUUUCAUUUAGUUGACUAAACCUCUUUAAGGUUGAAAGCGAAACAUUGCAAUAUGGGAGGAGAAUCACAUACUCAACGAGUACCUCGCCACUUUCAGGGGAUCAGAUGAUGACUCUGCUACAAUUAGCGAUGCAAAGGAAGCGGCUGUUGCGGCAAUCAUUGAGUUUGCCAUCUACACUCUUUCAGUGUGAUCUACUUAAUAUGCCAGCUGUUGCACAGCUUGAGAGGGAUGAACAAUAUCAGUUACUUUACGACCUUCUAAAGAUGUUCCUUACAAAGAGGAUUGAUUCCUAUUCAGAGUUUCAGACUGUAAACUCUGCCUUGCUGAAAGAUUAUGGACUGGUUCAUGAGGACUGCAUAACUAAAAUGCGCCUCAUGUCUUUGCUCGAUCUGAGCAGCCACUGCUCUCGUGAAGUCCCUUAUUCAGCAAUCACUUCACCACUUCAGAUCAAUGAUGAUGAGGUGGAGCAAUGGAUCGUGAAAGCACUUGCGUUCAAGAUAUUGGAUUGCAGGGUUGGUCAGCUUACCGAGACUGUCAUCGUCAGGUAUUCCUCCGCUGAGAUGGCGGUGGCCCACGACAUGGGUCCGGCCACUGUGGAGAAGCCGCGGUUCGAUGCUCUGAUGCCGAGCGAGAUGGGCGGCGGGAAGCCCCAGUUCCGGAAGGUGCCCGUGCCGCAGCACUGCUCUGCGCCGCUCAAGCACUGCUGGAUGGAGAUCUACACACCCGUCUAUGAGCACGUGAAGGUCGGCAUCCGCAUGAACAUCAAGAAUUUCGCCUAUGGUCCAAUCGGUUGAAUGAAGUGCCAGGAAUUUUAGAUGAUAUCUGGCUUGGCGAGCAGCUAAUCAUUUGUGCAAGAUACUACAGCUCAGUGAGGCUUUAGUUCAGCUCAGAAUUGUGACCUUGUUAGAAGUAAUAGUUUAGCAUGAGCGUACAGUUCAGUUCAGUUCAGAAAUGUGACCUCGACGAUGCUUCUAUCUGACACCUGAACAAUUCCAAAUCACAAGAACGUACAGGUUCUGUGUGGAACUGAGUUGUACUUGGCUCAAGUCAAGAAGGGUGGAGCUCAAAACAAGGACAGACACACCAGAUGUGAGCAAUGUACAGAAGUGCGCGGACUUUGUGCAUGUUUUUAUGCUUGGAUUUGACAUUGCCGGUGUUGUCGCCCUGCUGCGUCUUGAUGACAUUUAUGUGGAUUUCUUUGAGAUUCCUUAGGGCUAUAUCAGCUAGAUUGGCGGAAACGUAUUGAGUUAAAUGUGUAUUGUUGCAACAUGUAUCGUUGCAGUUUUGAUCGCAUAAUAUGUUGCCAUAGCUGAUUUGUCUGUUGGGGGCCGGGCCUAUUUAUUGUAUCCUUCUGGAGACCAAACUAUAUUACGAUGAAAUCUCUAUAAUCAGACAAUAAUUAUACGUGCUAAAUA